GUUCACAGUCUCCGGCUGGACGGUGUUAUCCUCUCCGCUCAGAGUUGAAGUAGGUCGGCUGUGUUAUCGGGAAAGACUUUCGUCUCUUCCGUCGGGAUCACUAUCUGCGGGCCGAAGAUAUCACUUUCCCAUCGACCUGCAGUGAGAGAUUUAUUGGAAGAAAACUCACGACUGAAGACGAGGGAACAGCAACAUGUGAACCAGCCCGAGGAUUGAGAGCAUCAACUGGAGAGGACCCAUCUGACUCGGAGAUUCCAGUGAUUCAGUCAGGAGAAAGUUGUGUUAAAAACAAGAAGGAAUUUGUCUCCAGGAAGUUCAAACACGG